CACGUAGGGCGCAAGCGUUGUCCGGAAUUAUUGGGCGUAAAGAGCUCGUAGGCGGCUUGUUGCGUCGACUGUGAAAACCCGCGGCUUAACCGCGGGCUUGCAGUCGAUACGGGCAGGCUAGAGUUCGGUAGGGGAGACUGGAAUUCUCGGUGUAGCGGUGAAAUGCGUAGAUAUCUGGAGGAACACCGGUGGCGAAGGCGGCAUCCUGGACCGACACUGACGCUGAGGAGCGAAAGCCAGGGGAGCAAACGGG
rnacentral:rRNA from 1 species